GGAUGUAUCUGGCUGUGAGAUCUGUCACCCCACUGGUCAGCAGGGCUGGUUUGGGUGACCUGGCCGGCUAGGCUGAUGUCCCCUUCUCCCCUGACAGCUCCAUGUGCUUCCCUCCCAAAGCUGAGAACCACCACCCCUCAGAGGAGGACGUUUGUUCACUCAGGGGUAUAUGAGUAGCCGAGCUCCCCUGCCAGGACCUCCAAACAAGCUCUCUUGGAAAUGCUAUGUCCUAAUUCCUGUGAACUGGCUAUGUUACCUUACUUGGCAAAGAGGAAUUAAUUU
rnacentral:snRNA from 1 species